UCUGUUUAUUGAUCAAUUGUUUUGCAGUAAAAACUGAAUUAUACAAUUGUUUUUAUUUAGCCUUAUCCCCCCCCCCCCUGCCAAUGCUUCCUAUUUAUCUCCUUUCACUGUGUUUACACGAUACAUACUUUGGAUUCCGUGAUCAUGUAAAUAAGUUUAAAAUACUAACCAUUUACAUACACGGUUUCACUCUCAUCGUUUGAAUUCACACCUAUUUCCACGUUUUCAGUUUCACCAUCGCUUCUAUCUUUGCUUCGACUGCUAGCUUCGUUCUCACUUCUUUUAUGUUCUUCAACAGUUGCUACGCUAAGUUUAAGUGGCCGUGAAGCGACAACAUCAAAUAUUAAAACUCUGUCAUGCAGAUCAGGCUUGUUAAACUCUGCUUCGAACAACUUCAAUAAUUCUAGUACAUCGUGCAAUUUUACUUCACGCGAUAUUGUCUGAGUGAAUACACUCAUUUUGCCUUUCACUUAAACAAAUAAAUGUCUCGGCCAGAAGCUUGUAUUCGCGUUGUCCGUGCA